CCUACGGGGGGCAGCAGUGGGGAAUAUUGGACAAUGGGCGAAAGCCUGAUCCAGCCAUGCCGCGUGUGUGAAGAAGGCCUUCGGGUUGUAAAGCACUUUCAGUGGGGAAGAAAGCCUUGGGGCUAAUACCCUCGAGGAAGGACAUCACCCACAGAAGAAGCACUGGCUAACUCCGUGCCAGCAGCCGCGGUAAUACGGAGGGUGCGAGCGUUAAUCGGAAUUACUGGGCGUAAAGCGCGCGUAGGCGGUCUGAUAAGCCGGUUGUGAAAGCCCCGGGCUCAACCUGGGAACGGCAUCCGGAACUGUCAGGCUAGAGUGCAGGAGAGGAAGGUAGAAUUCCCGGUGUAGCGGUGAAAUGCGUAGAGAUCGGGAGGAAUACCAGUGGCGAAGGCGGCCUUCUGGACUGACACUGACGCUGAGGUGCGAAAGCGUGGGUAGCAAACAGGAUUAGAUACCCCUGUAGUC
rnacentral:rRNA from 1 species